CGAUGAAGGCACUGAAGUUACUUGUGACAACUUCCAGAACAAGAUGGUCCAGGGUUUUCGGAUUUGUUCCUUAAGCAAUUAAUAAUGGAUCGAAAAUAGUUUUCUUCGCCAAUUUGGAGUUCCCACUCGCCAACUCCACAUUUUGGUAAUUUAGACACGCCAUUGGAGCGAGCUGAAUGAUAUGAUUAUUCUAGUCUUUUUAUAUCAGGAUCUGCUUUCUGGGCACACAAAUUUAACCAUUUAGCCACCUCAUUAAAGCCAACAGUAAAAUUUAUAUACCGUCCUACACUCGUAGGAUGUUUUUGAUUUUCUGCAUGUAUUACUGUGAGUACUGUGACUGUUUUCCCAUAUUAACUUUAUGGGCAAUCUAUGGGAAAAAGAGAGUCUAUUUAAGAAUUUAUAAUAAAUACAUAUACCUACUAUAGUCUGUCUCAUCUUGUCUUUCCAGUACAGGAAACAUGGGGAAAUGAAUGCAAUCCUUAUAGGAGUUGCGAUGCCGAUUUUAUAGAUUACAAAUACGUCCAUUCUCUUCAAAUCAUAUUCUGAUAACAUGUGGCAUCAUUGUUGGGCAUAAGACCCUGUUCCACGAUCUAUCGUGUCCUGUACUAUAAAGGCAAGGUGAUAACGGGCGAUCAAAAAUGAGUUGCUGUCGAGUGGCCUUUGGAAGUUCACGUUAAAUACGAUUUCCCAUGUAAACAAAAAUUCCAAAGGUGACUCGACAGCACCUCAUAUUUGAUCGCAUUGUACCUCAGUUUCGUCCGCCGUUCAGGAUCACGAAGACCGGUUACGGAGACAUAGUGUGCGGGUUUAUUGCAGCGGUCAAAUAUCGGAUGUUGUACUGGCAAAUAAAAUAAACCAUCCACUUAAUUACCCGUCGAAUGUUCUGGUGCCCUGUUUACAAAUGUCAAUUACGAUUAACCUGGAUUUUCCUGAUAAGACUUAAACAACCCCACAUAAACAAGCCACUUGAUCUCUCACGGAGAACGAUGACAAUUGUGUUUGAGUCAGGUCGACUGACCUAAGCACAAACGCAAGAGAUCAAUGCAGCCCUAUUUGACAUGAAGUAUACAGGUUUAUUUAACUUUAACCUAUGAGAUUUUACGUUACGGAUAGUACAGGUCUAUCGAAAAUAAUAGUAAACGAAUUAAACCUCAACGGUUAAACGGAAAGCUAACUGGUGAAUAGAAAAUGAUUCUGGCUGUUUAUGGUCUAGAAUACACAGGAAUAAUUUCCUGGUUGGGGGACAAGGGGGAGCACAUAUGCACAAGGUACAAGGAGAGAUUUCACUUUCAAUGAAUAGGACGGCAUCAGGCGACAUCUAACAUGGGGAUUUUAGAACACGUAUUACAGAGGUUUACAAAUAAAAUAUCUACUUUACAGAUUUUCUUCACAAACCGUACUGCAGACGGCAUUGCGUGUCGUAAGAAGCGACUAAACAGCAGCCCAACCUAGCGUCGACUUGUCUCCCCUCCCUUAAUAUCUUAGUAAUUUUUCUUUUUAUACCAGUUGCGGCAAAGACCCCGGUCUAGUUGGCACUACUAGCCAAGUUUCUUUCGAACCAAUUGAAAUGUUUUGUUUUCUCCUCCACCUUAGAAAUAAGAUUUCGUAAAUAAA